ACAGCCCUUUCAGAGAAUGCCCUCAGGAGGAAGACAAUCUACUGGGGGCACAUUCCACAUCAAGCCCUCCUUCAACAGAGGUUUCAGAGGCAACUCUUCCAGAGGCAGAGGAAGAGCCGGUCAGUCCGGUCGGAAUCGCAGACUCUCUUAUAUCAGUUGAGUGCUGUGGGUCUGGACUACAGCGGAGCUGGCCAGGAAGAGGAGGGCGCUCCACUGGUUGACUUGUGGCCACUGACCCCAUCUAGGGUUUUUUCCGUUUGAAGUUCUAAUUCAAUAGAUCUGUAUGAUCUGAUUAAAUGUUUUUCCUUUA